UACGUAGGCGGAAAAUUAAGUCAGUAGUGAAAUCCUGCAGCUUAACUGUAGAACUGUUAUUGAUACUGGUUUUCUUGAAUAUAGUUGAGGUAAGCGGAAUGUGUAAUGUAGCGGUGAAAUGCUUAGAUAUUACACAGAACACGGAUUGCGAAGGCAGCUUACUAAGCUAUGAUUGACGCUGAGGUACGAAAGCGUGGGGAGCGAACAGGAUUAGAUACCCUGGUAGUCC
rnacentral:rRNA from 1 species